CGUUGCUGUUAAAAUGUAGCUUCUGAAAAGCAGGUUUGAUUUAAAAGAUCUACCAUGAUGUGAUGUGGCAGCCCCUAUCUUUCAUUAGCCCUUUGAAAAGCUUUAGGUAUUGUAAUGCAGUUUCUUUUUUCAGGCAGAGUAAAUGGAAAGGCCAUUUUUGAUGGUUUCUGCGCUUUCUGGACCCUGAACCGAGGGCUGACUGAACAGGGAAUGAGCAGUUCAGCAUCAUUCUCCCUCCAGAUUCAGGAGCAUCAGCCCUUCACAUGGGGUCAGUGCUACCUCAGAUGGCUCAAAGGCAAUCACAGGCUGAUGGACCAAGGGACUGAGAAUGUGCAGUUGUGCUGCUUGAACUCUUUGUGCAGUGCUUCAGAAAUCAGUGCCAUGCUGCUGGUAACCCCCUGAAACACACACACCCUUCCUGAGCUCCACUACCCACCAAGCUGAAGGAAAACUUUUUAUCCUAACUACAGAGACAGCAACAGCCAUGAAAGUACCUAAUUCACUUCAGUCUAUCUCAGCUCUCUGUUUCCUCUCUACUGCCCAUCUUUAGCUGUCACUGUGGUCGAUGGCUGCUGAAAAGCCUUGUCCUGUUCCUGCAUCUUGUUCUGAACAUACAGGCCAGCAGCGCUGGGAAGGAGGAAAUGCUGCUGCUCAUGUGAGCUGUCCUGAGUGUUGGCAGAGCUGUGAGUUUCAGAACAGAGUGAUGUAUUUCAGCUGUUGUGAAAUUCCUGAAUAAUCAGCUCAUCAAAAAAUACCAUGCAGAGUUCCCUUGUAGUCCUGUCCAACUUGCCACCUCUCCUGCCAAUAGCUCUGUAGGGUGACCACAGCCUGGCACAGCCCAUUAACAGAGCUCUGCACACUCAUGAAUAGAGCUGGCUGGAAAAUGCAAUUUUUCUUCUAGGGGGAAAAAGAAAAAUUAUUGGUACAAGAGUCUUUCUAGCUUUGCAUUUCAGCGUUUCAGGAUGAAGAUUUCACCCACUGUUCCCUCCAGCACCCUCUGCUGUUCUCUGUGUUCAUUCCUCCCCACCCCACUUUUUUGGAAGGCAGCUCCAGAAAAAGGAGAAUCGCAUUUCAAAUGGCCAUGUGGUUGCUGUUUGCCUUACUGAUGAGCUCCUCUUGGCUCCAAGAUUGGGAGUCUUGCUGCAAGACAGGCACUGACCAGCUGGCACCUCCUCAAGGUGGUGCUCCUGGGUGAUGUGUUCUAGGACCUGCAGCUUUUACUGCUACUACUCAGUCUCCUGUCUUGAAAAGAUAUUGAGCAGCUUCAGGACCACCAAAAAUGAGGUAAUGGCCCUAAGUCGCACCAAGAGAGGUUCAUCUUGAAUAUUAAAAUUUCUUCUCAGAACAAGGUGGUGAUGCAUUGGAACAGGUGGCCCAGUGAGGUGGUGGAGUCACUGUCCCUGGAGGUGUUCAGGAAACAUGGAAGUGUUGUUAACAAGUGAGUGACAUGGAUUGGUGGGGAUGGGAUGAUGGUUGGAGAGGAUGAUGUUAGAGUCAUUAAGGUUGGCCAAGACCUCUAUGAUGCUGUGACUGUAUCCUUGGGGGAAGGCAGGCAUUGGAAGGGUAGACCUGUCCUGGCCUCAGCAUUUCUCAGCACAUGGCCUACUGCCUGUACUCUUGAGGACGGUCCAUACAGGGCCCCCAGGGCCCUCAUCAGUGACCACUUUUAGUCACACCCUGGGAGAUAUAAAGGGUACACACACACACACAUACAAAAGCAUGCUUGAAACUCAUGGUUCUUACAUAAUUAAGUACGUUGAAAUAGCAAACAAGCCUUUGAAAAGCAGCAGGUAAGUCACAAAUCACAAAAUGGAAUCUGCUCCUCCGCUCCGGCAGCGCUGAUCCCCACUGCAGACGAGGAUUU
rnacentral:lncRNA from 1 species